rnacentral:rRNA from 1 species
GGCGCGAAACCUUUACAAUGCACGCAAGUGUGAUAAGGGGAUCCCCAGUGCUCAUGUACUGCAUGGGCUUUUGCCAAGUGUAAAUAGCUUGGCGAAUAAGUGGUGGGUAAGACCGGUGCCAGCCGCCGCGGUAACACCGGCGCCACGAGUGGUAACCGCGUUUAUUGGGCCUAAAGCGUCCGUAGCCGGCCUGAUGAAUCCUUUGUGAAAUUGUCCAGCCUAACUGGGCAGCGCGCAAGGGACACUAUCAGGCUCGAGACCGGGAGGAGUCAGAAGUAUUCCAGGGGGAGCGGUAAAAUGUUAUAAUCCCUGGAGGACUACCUGUGGCGAAAGCGUCUGACUAGAACGGAUCUGACGGUGAGGGACGAAAGCCAGGGGAGCGAACCGGAUUAGAUACCCGAGUAGUCCUGGCCGUAAACGCUGCGAGCUAGGUGUUGCGCCACUACAUGUUGGUGCAGUGUCGAAAGRAGCUGUWAGCUCGCCGCCUGGAAGUACGGUCGCAGACUGAAACUUUAAGGAUUGGCGGGGAGCACCACAAGGGUGCGCGUGCGGUUUAUCUAACUCAACGCAGAGAACCUUACUAGGGCGACGGCAGGAUGAAGGCCAGCUUGAAGAGCUUGCCUGACGAGCCGAGAGGAGGUGCAUGGCCGCCGUCAGCUCGUACCGUGAGGCGUCCUGUUAAGUCAGGCAACGAGCGAGACCCGCACUCCUAAUUGCCAGCACCGGCUUCGGCCGGGUGGGUACAUUAGGAGGACUGCCGUGGCUAACACGGAGGAAGGAACGGGCAACGGUAGGUCAGUAUGCCCCGAAUGUGCUGGGCUACACGCGGGCUACAAUGGCCAAGACAAUGGGUUCCCACCUCGAAAGAGGGCGGUAAUCUCCUAAACUUGGUCGUAGUUCGGAUUGAGGGCUGAAACCCGCCCUCAUGAAGCUGGAUUCGGUAGUAAUCGCGUGUCAGCAGCGCGCGGUGAAUACGUCCCUGCUCCU